AUGGCGUUCGUGGCAUCGCUGCUCAUCAUCGUGGUGCUUCUGGAUAGGAAGCCCCGCUUGAAAGAGGCCUACGGGUGCAUCGCCAUUGCGCUGAUCAGCCUCAUCGGCGCGUACACCGCUGGCAGCUGCAGGGAGACCGACACCACCAUCUAUGUCAUCAGCCUGGUUGGUGCUGUCCUCGCCUUCAUUAUAUUCCUCCAAGCUGUCAUUUAUUUCAAAGAAAAAGUGCCCAUUGUUGGGAAGUUCAUAGACGACAUAAGGGCUGCCUGCUUCUGGGCCAAAAUCAAAGAUCUCCAUAAAUCCGUGUCAGGGAGGUUGCAACGAGCAGUAUCAAGGACUCCAAGUCUGCGCGCUAUUAAUAGCAGGAAGGCAGCGGACAAGGCUAGCUCCCUUGUUCUGUUGCUCGCCACUCUUGCAGCGGCCAUCACGUACCAAGCAGGGUUGGACCCGCCAGGUGGAGUCUGGCCGGACAACGGCCAAGGGCACAUGGCCGUGGACCCGAUCCUCCUGACGACGAAUCCUGGGCGGUACAAGGCCUUCUUCUACUGCAACUCUGUCGCCUUUGUGGCAUCCUUGGUUGCCAUCAUCCUGGUCCAGAACAAGCUUCUGCUCGAGACCCACGUGCUGGAGGCAGCCAUGGUGUUGGACUUGUUUGGCCUCAUCGGUGCGUACGCCGCCGGGAGCUGCCGGGAUGUAAGCACCUCCAUUUACGCCAUGGCCUUGGCAGGGGGCGUCCUGGUCUACGUGGUGAUCCAUCUCGUCUUCUUCACGUUGGAUCACACAGACACCAUAACCCCGCAGGAAAUUGAGAUAGUGGAAAAGCGGCGCAAGCGGCUGCUCCUAUUCGCGGUCUUGGCCGCGACCGUCACUUACCAAGCCGGGCUGACACCUCCAGGCGGUUUCCGGCUCCAUGACGAUGGGUCUGGUGGGUAUCAAGCAGGUGACCCGGUCCUCUUAAACAACUUUCCCUGCCGCUACACCGCCUUUUUCUACUGCAACUCGGUGAGCUUCAUGCUGUCCAUUACCCUCAUCAUACUGCUGGUGAACCCACAUCUAUACAGGCCAGCCAUACGAAGCUAUGCGCUCGCUAUUUGCACGGCGGUGGGCAUGUUCGGCCUGAUGGGGGCCUAUGCAGCCGGAAGCACACAGCAUCUGAAAACAUCCAUCUACAUCUUCGCACUGGUGGUUGUGGUCCUCUUGGUUAUAGCUGCACUGUUCCUAUUGUUCUUGAAUAAGAACAGAAACACCAGCAGUCAACUGAAGCCAGAGAACGGUGAGGACGAUAAAAAGACGACAUAUGCCAAGCAAAAAUACCUGAUGCUGCUAGGAAUCCUUGUGCCAAGUGUCACCUACCAAGCCGGCCUAGAUCCGCCCGGGGGAGCUUGGCAGCACAGCAGCGAAUGGUACGACGCAGGCAACCCGGUCAUGCAUGACAACAGGAGGCCCCGGUACCUCGCCUUCUUCUACAGCAAUUCUACGUCCUUCGUGGCGUCCAUUGUUGUUAUCAUCAUCUUGCUACUGGAGUGGAAGGACAAGAAGAAAAGGUCGCUCACACUCAGGGUGUUGAGCACGACGAUUGUGCUGGAUUUGCUCGCUCUCCUGGUGGCCUACGCAGCAGGCUCCAGCAGGGGGUGGAAGACGUCUGUGUAUGUCGUUGCACUGAUCAUUGCCGUGCUGGCCUACAUUGCAAUUCAUGUAAUCCUGGCAUUCCUGUGUUCACAUCAUGAUGACAGUUCUCAGCCCCCGGCAAAUCCUCCUCCGAUACAGGAGGAGGCGAACGGUGGGAAUCAGGCAUAG
rnacentral:rRNA from 1 species